rfam:Bacillus sp. FJAT-22058 super1, whole genome shotgun sequence.
CCACGACAGAGGCAAACUCCUUGAAAAAUGAGGGCGCAAAGGCACGGGUCUAAGGUCCUUGUGACUAUGAUGGCUGGUCUGCCUGA